UACGUAGGUGGCAAGCGUUGUUCGGAAUUAUUGGGCGUAAAGGGCGCGUAGGCGGUUUGUUAAGUCGGCUGUGAAAGCCCGGGGCUCAACCCCGGAGGGUCAGCCGAUACUGGCAGGCUAGAGUACAGAAGAGGUAACUGGAAUUCCCGGUGUAGCGGUGAAAUGCGUAGGUAUCGGGAGGGACACCUGAGGCGAAGGCGGGUUACUGGGCUGAUACUGACGCUGAUGCGCGAAAGCCAGGGGAGCAAACGGG
rnacentral:rRNA from 1 species